rnacentral:misc_RNA from 1 species
AAGCCUUCACUUCUGUGAUGCUUAAUUCUGCCCAAUCCAACUCUAUCCUUAUGAAAACUAAGCCUCACCCCCCCAUCAACAUUCUAUCUCAACAACUCAACCAAAUCCAUCUUAACUGUCUCAAAACGUAUUAAUUGGUCCAUUAUGGUUUAUUUUAUUUGGAUUGGGUUUAAUUAGUUUUAAUUUGAGGGAUUAGAAGUGCUAACUUGGCACCUCUAUUAGCUUUUAACGAGCAAGUAAUAGUGGGAUUCAAUUGUAGUGAAUUUCAAAAU